UACGUAGGGGGCAAGCGUUGUCCGGAUUUAUUGGGCGUAAAGAGCGUGUAGGCGGCCAUACAGGUCCGUUGUGAAAACUGGAGGCUUAACCUCCAGACGUCGAUGGAAACCGUAUGGCUAGAGUCCGGAAGAGGAGAGUGGAAUUCCUGGUGUAGCGGUGGAAAUGCGCAGAUAUCAGGAAGAACACCCGUGGCGAAGGCGGCUCUCUGGGACGGUACUGACGCUGAGACGCGAAAGCGUGGGGAGCGAACAGG
rnacentral:rRNA from 1 species